UCGGGAAUAUUGCGCAAUGGAGGAAACUCUGACGCAGUGACGCCGCGUGCAGGAAGAAGGUUUUCGGAUUGUAAACUGCUUUUAGACAGGGAAGAAACAAGACAGUACCUGUAGAAUAAGCUCCGGCUAACUACGUGCCAGCAGCCGCGGUAAUACGUAGGGAGCAAGCGUUAUCCGGAUUUAUUGGGUGUAAAGGGUGCGUAGACGGGAAUGCAAGUUGGUUGUGAAAUCCCUCGGCUCAACCGAGGAAUUGCAACCAAAUCUAUAUUUCUUGAGUGCUGGAGAGGAAAGUGGAAUUCCUAGUGUAGCGGUGAAAUGCGUAGAUAUUAGGAGGAACACCAGUGGCGAAGGCGACUUUCUGGACAGUAACUGACGUUGAGGCACGAAAGUGUGGGGAGCAAACAGGAUUAGAUACC
rnacentral:rRNA from 1 species